GUUCCCAGUGAUGAUUAUCUUUUACCAUGCUAAUUCUGAGGUAUAUUGAUGAAACCUUAUUCUUUUGAUCUCCUGAGGGAACU